AAAUUAAAUUAGUUGUGCGUAAGAAUACAAUAAAUAAAAAAUGCCAUCACCGCAUCUCUCUUGACGAUCUCAUUUUUUUAACAAGAAAGUAGGAGGUGUUUAAAAUAUAAUUAUACUCUCCCGACAAAAGAAAACUUUAAAUUCCAUAUUAAAAACCAAACGUUUUAUUGCGGACCACGAAAGACGUGCGAAAUUACAGUGCAUAUCCAUACAAUUUCGAGAAGAUGAUGCCAUGAUUGACGACAUUAAUUUACGUCAUAAAUAAGACCAUUGCGUUAUUUCUUACAAGAUUUUAAGGACACCAUUUUUUUAUAACUUUCUUAUUCGCGAUAUAAUCUUCAAGGGAAACGUCUUUUUCGUCGAUCAUUGCUCAUAUCUCAGAACACACACACAAAUAUUGUAAAUUGCUUCACAUACAAUAGCUACGAUAAAAAAACUGCUUGCGUAAUCGUCUGAAGAAAGAUAUAAAUAGCAGAUUCGUCGGUGGCAGUAUGUAACGAACUUCAGUGAAUUGUUGAUCUUGUAACAUCCAUUUGUGAUUUUCGAUUAAGAAAAUGACGUGUCGAUUCUGCUGAUCGAACGCUUCAUCGAGAUGUCGACAUUAAAAUGAAGUUUUUCAUGAAAAUGGAGUUCGCGCUGGCGUUAUUAAUCUUGAUCGUUUUAUCGCCAACCAUUUGUAAAGAUGAAGACCAUAAAGAUCCACGGGGUGGUGUAUGGAAUAGUACACAUUCUGGUUUACCGAAUAUAACUCGUACUCAAAUCAUAAGUUUACCAGAUCUAUCAAAAUCUCCAGAUAUUCAGAUAUAUCAAAAUUGACAGAUCUAUUAAAAGCCCAGAAAAUCAACGGCAAGAGAAAGAUGAGAGAUGUAGCAGAAUAAUUUCAUUCACUAAGUCUCAACAAUCGGACGCUGAAAUGGGCAACCUGUCAGACUUCGAAAGAGGGCAAAUCGUGAGUGCUCGGUUAACGAGAGCGUCUGUGACGAAAACAGCUGAACUGCUUAGAGUUUCACGAGCAACAGUAUCCACGGUGAUGACAGCCUACACAAAAUAUGGGAAAACGACACCUGCGAAGAAAAAAUGUGGGCGCAAAGCAACGUUAACAAACAGGGACCGCCGAACAUUAAAAAGAAUCGUGGCCAAGCAGCAUAAAAUUGCCGCAGCAAAGGUGACAGCAGAACUCAACAGUCAUCUGAGCAAUCCUAUUUCGACAAGAACAGUGCAGCGGGAACUCCACAAAAGUAACAUUUAUGGUAAGGCUGCAAUUUCGAAAUCCCUUACGGAAAUCCCUUAAAAUGGAAGCCAACGCGAAGCUGCGAAAGAAGUGGGGUCACGAUCAUAAAACUUGGAUGACUGAUGAUUAGACGAAUGUGAUAUGGUCCGAUGAAUCAUCAUUUACUUUGUUCCCUAUAAACGACCGAGUUUACUAGUGUAAUAAAAAAGUAUCCGAACUUUAUUUUUUAAAAAUCGCGGGUAAACUGUAAAUCAAAUCCGUUUGCUUUCUCAAAUUGGUACACGUGUCCUUCACAUUUGGUGAAAACAUCAUGGCGUUCCUUCAAGCCGUUUGAAAGUGGCAGUUGUUUAUGUCAGUGAAGAUUAUUGUGCACGGCGAUUUUUACGAUGUCGAAAAAUAUGGAGCAAAGAAUUUGUUUGAAAUUUUGUGUUGGGAAUGAAAUUUCGUUCACCGCAAACGCAUUCAAAAUGUUGCAAAAAGCUUAUGGCGAUGAUUGUUUAUCGAAAACAAGUACGUUUGGGUGGUUUAAGAAGUUUUAAGAAGGACGAGAAUCCGUUGAAGACGACCCACGCUCUGGAAGACCAACAACGUCAACAGAUGACGCUCGCAUUGAGAAAGUGAAAGAAUUGUUGCUCCAAAAUCGUCGAUUGACUGUGCGAGAGAUAGCAGAUGAAGUUGGAAUAUCAUUUGGAUCGUGCUAGCACAUUUUGUCCAAUGUACUGGACAUGAAACGGGUCGCAUCGCGUUUGAUUCCGAAAAACUUGAAUUUUCUGCAAAAUUUUCUCCAAAAACUCAACGAAUAUCGCUCCGCAAGUACCGUAUUUACCACAUAUGGCCCUCUGUGACAUUUGUGUGUUCCCCCUAUUGAAAAAACCACUUCGCGGACAGCGUUUCAAAUCGAUUGAGGACGUCAAAGAAAAAUCGCUGCCUGAAUUGAAAGCCAUACCGUUUGCCGCGUAUGAUCGAUGUUUCCAAGACUGGAUCAAACGCUGGCAUAUGUGCGUUGCAAGCAACGGGGACUACUUUGAAGAAGACUAUAAGAAUUUUCAUGACUGAAUUGCAAUUUUGAUUUUUAAAAAUAAGGUUCGGAUAUUUUUUCAUCAUAAUACUAUGUAUGGAGAACCCUCAAAGAAGCCUAUGAUCCGAAUUACCUGCUACCCAUAGUCAAGCACGGAGGUGGCUCCGUGAUGAUUUCGGCGGCUGUAUGGUGAUAUUCCGCUGGCUCGAUUAUUACCAUUAAUGGCCGUAUUACUGCGAAUAAAUAUCUCGGCAUCCUCAACGACGAAGUUCUUACUAUGACCAGCAUAUUGCUGCCAAAAACUGCCAUAUUCCAAGAUGAUAAUGCACCCAUACACAUAGCCGAAAAGGUUCAGUCUUGGUUCGAGGGGCAUCGAAAUAUCAUCAAACAUCUUCCCUGGCUAGUCCUACCCUACCAUCGUGAGACCUCAACACAAUGGAACCGCUAUGGGGAAUUUGGGAGCAGAGAGUGAGGAGCAAACUUCCAUUUCCAUCAUCAUUGAAGCAAUUGGCCGAGAUGUUGGUGUAAGAAUGGGAUAACAUUCCGUUGUAAAUUAUUCGUAAACUCUAUGAAUCUAUUCCGCGAUGAAUUGCAGCUGUCCUAAAGGCAAAUGAUGGGCCUACAUCUUGUUAAUAAAUAAAUAUUGUGUA